rnacentral:rRNA from 2 species
UGAUACGAUCAUACCAGCACUAAAGCACCGGAUCCCAUCAGAACUCCGAAGUUAAGCGUGCUUGGGCGAGAGUAGUACUAGGAUGGGUGACCUCCUGGGAAGUCCUCGUGUUGCAUUCC